rnacentral:lncRNA from 1 species
UAUAUUUUUAUUUUACUCAUAAAACUUGUUAUUUAGGAAUAUUUUACAUUGUUGUAUGUAGAUGACUUCCAUUAUAAUAAAUAAAUAAAUACUACAUUUUCUGUUUCUGUGUACAUUUAUACAUUUUCAAAUUAGUCUUCCCAUGUAUUUGAUAAUUGAGCCUUUUAUUUUUACACUUCUUUAUUUUCUUGAGUCAUUUAUUUAUUAUAAUGGCAGCUUUAGUCACUUUUUACCUAAAUAUAGCAUCUAAUAGUUAAACAAUUGUUCCUGAUACUGGGCUAACACGAUGUCACGAUGCAUUUGUUUCCCUUGCAGACUGUGGGGCAGAUGCCUUUUGAGAGAUAUGUCACCACUUACAGCAGAGACUAUAAAGCCUUCAGCCAGCGUCACACACAGCUCGACCAGCUGAAGCUCAGAACUGAAGCUCAAGCUGCUCCUGUGUUCAUCAGCCCACCUCAGGUUGGACAGACGGACGGACACAGAGAUUCAUUGAAAGAUAGAUUCAUUCACUGACGUGUUGAUUGUGCUGUGUUCACAGACUCUUCAUGAAACCUGGUAUAUACUUCAUCAAUACUUUUACAAGACAACUAACAGCAUCUACGGCUCAAGUUUACAGUACUGUCUCUCAGCCUAACAGUUCCCUCUUCCCUGCCUCCUCGGGUCCAUGUGGCGUCCCUGCUGCUUCCAUGUCUGAGGCGUCUGGGGGAGUUGCAAGGGAGACUGGGCCUUUCCCUGGUGAGGAGAGAGGUCAGCUGCACAAUGCUUUUAGUGGAAAGGGUAAGACACACACACGCACGCGCACACACAAGCUGGCAGCUACAUUGGUACUCAGUUCAUUUUCUUUUGACAGCUAA